UACGUAGGGCGCAGGCGUUGUCCGGAAUUAUUGGGCGUAAAGAGCUCGUAGGCGGCUUGUCACGUCGGGUGUGAAAGCCCGGGGCUUAACCCCGGGUCUGCAUUCGAUACGGGCUAGCUAGAGUGUGGUAGGGGAGAUCGGAAUUCCUGGUGUAGCGGUGAAAUGCGCAGAUAUCAGGAGGAACACCGGUGGCGAAGGCGGAUCUCUGGGCCAUUACUGGCGCUGAGGAGCGAAAGCGUGGGGAGCGAACAGG
rnacentral:rRNA from 1 species